rnacentral:rRNA from 1 species
AUUGAACGCUGGCGGCAUGCUUUACACAUGCAAGUCGAACGGUAACAGGCCGCAAGGUGCUGACGAGUGGCGCACGGGUGAGUAAUGCAUCGGAACGUGCCCAGUCGUGGGGGAUAACUACUCGAAAGAGUAGCUAAUACCGCAUACGAUCUAUGGAUGAAAGCGGGGGACCGUAAGGCCUCGCGCGAUUGGAGCGGCCGAUGUCAGAUUAGGUAGUUGGUGGGGUAAAGGCUCACCAAGCCAACGAUCUGUAGCUGGUCUGAGAGGACGACCAGCCACACUGGGACUGAGACACGGCCCAGACUCCUACGGGACGCAGCAGUGGGGAAUUUUGGACAAUGGGCGCAAGCCUGAUCCAGCAAUGCCGCGUGCAGGAAGAAGGCCUUCGGGUUGUAAACUGCUUUUGUACGGAACGAAACGGCUCUGGUUAAUACCCGGGGCUAAUGACGGUACCGUAAGAAUAAGCACCGGCUAACUACGUG